CUGUUGUCAGGUUCGACUCGUACAGGGAAAGGAACCUGAGCAUUUUCUGCGCAUGUUCAAGGGUAAACUGGUUGUGUUUAUGGGUGGUCACGCCGACCACCAUGAAGAGCAUUCGAAGGGUGGCGACGCGACGAGACUCUUCCACAUCCGGGGCACCAACGAGUUUAACACAAGAGCAGUCGAGGUUGAUCCAGUCGCCACGAACCUCAACUCCAGUGAUGCAUUCAUUGCACACGAGGGCAAAGAUGUGUACCUGUGGCAAGGAAAGG